GCCAGGAUGACAGAGCGGCCAGUGCCUUCGGCAUGAAGUGCCGAUACGCUCGAAAAUGUGCCCGCCUGCAGAGCGGGUUAUGGGAGUUCGACUCUCCCUCCUGGCU
rnacentral:tRNA from 1 species